UAAAAGGUGAGAUCCCGGGCGGUCACGUUAGUAGGAAGAAACCAAACCCAACCCUAAAUUCUGCCCGCAGGGCCUUCCGCCGUUCCGGCCCGGUGGCUCGCGUGUUCGAUCAACCAAAAUUGGCCCGCUCAGUUUGAAGCCACACCCACAAGGGACCCAAACCCUAUUUCCCCUCCCCGCUGUGCCCCCACACCUCCAAGGCGGCGGCGCCUCCAUGGCGGCGACGCAGCCUAGCUCGCCGGAGCGCGCGUGCCUCGCUACCACGAUGCGCGCCGCUCCGUCCAACUAGCCGAGCCUCACCGCCACGGACCGGACGUCCGCGCCCCCCGCCCGGAGAUGGAGCCUGCGCACGCCAAGUUCUUCUUCGCGCCGGCGGCCUUGAGAUCCGCACCUCCGUCGCGGGAUGCGUCCUCGACGUCUACUCCGACCAGGCUCGCUCGCGCGGAACCAGGACGUGCGCACGGCCUCCAAUCUCGGCCCCGGUUACUGGGGAACCUACCUGGACGACGCCACAAAACCCUCUCGGAGCUCUUCAGCCGAUACGGCAGCUCUGCUUACUUCUUGUGCUACAUUAUCCCCAUCGAUCUGCUUCUACAUGUACUCAGUGGACUACCUCGAGUCAGCGACCUACCAAGUGCUCUACUUCUGCUGGGAGGAGGAGGAGGAGAACUCAAAAGGAACAUUUCUUAAUUUGCUCAGCAGCCGGACAUGUGCUCUGCUGGGAGGAGGAUUCAAAAGCAAUUCUUUGCCAAGUAGCCGUAGCCUAACCCUAGGCCGCUGUGCGUCUCUUUUGGCUCCGUCUGUGGCGUUGUGGUCUCUGGACGCCUGGCCAGCAGCACCUUCGGAGUGCUUCAGUUCAGAAACUGAAGUUCUUUUUUCUGGAAGUCAAAGAAGGGCUACCCUGAUCGGUGGCUAGCCCUAAGCCGCCGUGUCCUUGCUGGCUCCGUCCGUGGUGCUGCGGUGGCUGGACGCUGGACCAGCAGCACCUUUGGAAGGUUUCAGAAUCUGAGCUUUUUUUCUUGGUGUUCACAUAAACAAACACAAUGAUUUAUUGGCUGCCCUCAUAUUGUAGUGGGCACACCUGUAAUGAUUCUAGCUCUAGCUAGAGAGACGGACCUUUCUUUGAAGAACGUUAGCUACUUCAUUCUUGAUGAGUGUGACAAGAUGCUAGAGUCACUUGGAAUAUGUGGGCAAUCUUGGGAUGCUCAUAAUCUUCUUAUUGAUUACUGGCUGCCAACUGGAUAUCCUUAUGAUGCUCCUUGUAGGAGCUCCCUAGUUUGACUAGCAGUUUCAGUAAAGGAAGGCAGAUAUAAUGAAUGGGAGAGGGAGAUCCAGGAGCUCUGGGAGACUUUGCUGGGGCUGUAUCAGAGGUUUUAGAAGCCUGGGAGCAUAGGACCCGUCCGAUUUAGCGGCUGGUGUCCAUCCCACACCAAGAACAAAACCAACCCUAACCUAAACGCAUUUCCCCUCCCUGCUCCUCUGCUCCCACCCCUCCAAGGCGG